GACUCUGCGGACAGAUCUGCUCCAGAAUGGCCGAGAGAAGCUUCUGAAUCUGCUGAAUGAAGGCUCGAUAACAGAGCUCAAGUCCUUGCAGAAGAUUUAAGACAAGAAGGCCAAGCUCAUUGUGGGUUGGAGGGAGGUCAACGGCCCAUUCAAAAACGUGGAGGACCUGGCCUCUAUAGAAGGGAUAUCUACCAAAUUUGUCGACAUAUUUUUAGAGGCCAACAUCCUGAGAAUAGUAAAAAGAUGAAGACGCCCCAGGACCCUUCACUUCUCACUGAGAAGCCUUCACCUCAUGGAUUCUAUGAAACCUCUUAUUCGACUGCCUCGUGUACAUUCCUAUAGUCUCCACCAACCCCCUGGUACAUGAGGCUAGUGGGGGGCCUGGCAUCCUCCUUGUGUUCCACCUCUCAUUGUGACUCUUUACCCUCCUCAGUGUGAGGUCGGCGAUGGCAGGAGCGUUGUCUUAUUUUUGGAUUAUUUUUAUUAUCAUUUUUUAAUGUAUUUGGUUGAAUCUGUGCAGUGAGCCGCCUACCCCCCACCCCACCCUACACAGGCAUCAUACAGAUGUGUCUAUAGGAUCUCCAUAUACUUACACCAUGUAACCACUGUUGUAUAUAAGAUGAAUCAGUUUAGGGAGACUGAACAGACCGCCCUGCCCUGGGUAGAAAACGUAGCCCCGGCAGCCUGGGGAGUAAUGCAGGUUGAAGCAUGUUGAGGAACGGUUGAGCCG